AACGAACGCUGGCGGCAUGCCUAAUACAUGCAAGUCGAACGAGAACUCCGGGUGCUGUCGCGUAUGGGUGUGUAACGCGAGGGAUCCUGCACUCGGGUUUGGCAUACCUCCCAGACAGGGGUGCCAACACCGGACAAUAUCUACUGCCCAAUGAUUUAUCGAGUUUGGUUGUGCCCGCGUUGGAUUCGCUUGUUCGUAGGGUAAUAGCCUACCACGGGGACAAUCCACAGCUGGUUUGUGAGGAAGGUCAGCGACACUGGGAGUAGGACACGGCCCGGACUCCUACGGGAGGCAGGAGUGGGGAAUAGUGGACAAUGGGCGAAAGCAUGAUCGAGCAAUGCCGGGAAAGUGAUGUAGGCCUUAAGGAUGUAAAGCUCUAUUAACCGGGAAGAUAAUGACGGUACCGGAAGAAUAAGCUCCGGCUAACUCCGUG
rnacentral:rRNA from 1 species